UUUUUUUCUUUCUCUCACUUCUUUAGCUACUUGCGUUUUUUUUUUCUUUCUCUCACUUCUUGCGGUUUUUUUUUUGUCACUUCUUGUAUUUUUUACUUCAAUUCUCUCAAUUCUUUUCUCUUCGAGUGCAUUAACCUCACUCCUUUCAGCUACUUAUGUUUUUUUUUUCUUUUUGUCACUUCUUACUUUUUUUUUUUCUUUUCGAAGAAAGGAUUUCAUUGCAUGCACUUCAAUUCUCUCAAUUCUCUUCCCUUCAAUUGCGCCAACCACCCUAAACCCUAAACACUCUUUACUUCUCUUUGAUUGCACCAACUUCACUUCUCAGUUUUUUUUCUUCUCCACGGUUCUCUCUGUUUUGCUUCGCGCUAUUUUUUGUUUUUGUUAUCUUAGGGUUUUGAUUAUAAGUUUUGAUUUAAUGGAAUUCACAAGCUCGAAUGAUAAAGUUUGUGUUUAUUUUAUUUCAUAGGUUAAUUUCUAUUCUUGAUUUGAUUUUAAUUUUUUGAUUAUAUCUUAGAGUUUUUGGUUCUUGUUAUCUUAGGCUUAUGCUUCUGAUAUGUGGUUUCAUUAUGUCAUUUAGAUUCUUUUACAUCAUGUACGCUGUGUGAUUAUAUUCUGAAAAAUUUAUGUUAUAAAUUUGUGUAAUGAGAAAUGUUUAGCUCCUAGAUGAUGAUGUUGAUUUUAUGAAUGUGUCGGGAUUUAGUGCUAUAUUUGACUAUUGAGUUUGAUUAUGAUGUUUACCGAGUUUGAUUAUAUUCAGAAUCAGUGCUAUAUUUGAUUAAUUAUACAUGUUUACUGAGUUUGAUUAUACUCAGGUUCAGUAUUUGACUACUAAUUUGUCUUGUUCAUUUAUAGAAAAUUGAGAGCGUUAUUAUACCUGAUUUGAUUUUAAAUUUUUUAUUAUCUAUGUUUUAGGUUGUUCUAAGCAUAGAAAUGGCAUUCUUCUCUAUGAAAGAUUAUGAAACUUUUUAUACUAAUUAUGCAAAAAGGGUUAGUUUCUCAUGGAAUAUAAGAACCAUUAAGUCGGAUCAAAAUAGACAGAUUACAUACCAAAUCUUGGUAUUUUUUAGAGCUGGUUAUCGAAGAUCAAGAACUGAUCCACUAAAAAAGACAAAUCCAACUUUCGAGAAAAAUUGUAAAGUUAGGAUUAUUGUGAAAAGGGAUAAGAAGAUGGAAUAUGUGUUAAUCUUUGUGAAUAUCCAACACAACCAUGUUAUUAGUCCUAGCAUGGCAAAGACCCUGAGAAAGAAUAGGAAAUUAAGCUUGCAUGCAAACGGAUAGCUGAGAUCAAUGAUAAAGCUGGUGUUACAAUGAGAAACACAUAUCAGAGUUUAGCAAUUGCUGAAAAAGAUCUUCGAAAUCAUGUAGCAAAUAGUUUCAGAGUCAUACAAGAGGAGGGGGAUGCGCAAUCAUUAAUGCAGUAUUUUCAUAGGAUAUAACAACAAAACUGCAACUUCUUUUACGAAGUUAAAUUGGACGAGCAACAUCACAUAAAGCAUACUUUUUGUGCUGAUGCUAGAAAUCGUGCUGCUUAUAAGCACUUUGGGGACGUUGUGAGCUUUGAUACGAUGUACCUAAUAAAUAGGUAUGAUAUGCCUUUUGCCUCAUUUGUUGGGGUUAACCACCAUGGUCAAUCAUUUCUACUUGGUUGCGCUCUUCUUUCAUGCGAAGAAGAGAGUUCCUUUGUUUGGUUAUUUGAUUGUUGGAUACAAUGUAUGGGUGGCAAGCUGCCUAUUGGCAUAUUGAGGAUCAAUGCAAAGCUAUGCGGAAUGCCAUUGAAAAAUCGUUGCCAAUGACACAACAUUGAUGACGUAUUUGGCAUAUCAUGAAGAAAAUUUCAAAAAAGAUAGGAGCAUGCAAGCAAUUUAACGAGAUUAGUGCUAAUAUGACACAUAUUGUGUGGGAUUCUAGGUCUAAGAAAGCAUUUGAGAACUCUUGGAUUGGUUUGAUCAACAAAUUCAAUUUGUAUGAUAAUAAUUGGUUUGUAUGAAGAACAUGACAGGUGGGUCCUUAUUUUUCUUAGCAACAGUUUUUGGGAAGGCAUGCGUAGCACUUAAAGGAGUGAAAGUAUGCAUGCAUUUAUGAAGGGCUACCUAACCUCAAAGAGAAACUUACAACAAUUUGUAACACUAUGACAACUGUCUUGCAAAUAAAGCUCAACAAGAAUAUGAAUUAGAUGCUGCCAGCUUCAAUACCAUUAUCCUUUGUGUUACUGCCUCUGCUAUUGAGAAACAGUUUUGGUUGUGCUAAACAUGCACACUACUUUCAGCCACUAUUUUCAGCCACCGUAUUUAUAUACGUAUACAAUACAAAAUAGAAAAUUCAAAAAUUAAAAAUAAAAACCUUACUCUCACGCACUGAAACAAUGUUCUUCUUUCUCCUUCUCUUACUCUCACUCCCAUUCUCACUCUCCGACGUGACUCUUUCCUCAUCCUCAUUCUCAGCUAUGAUUCUCCUUCCCUUUCUCUCCGGCGGCACGAUUCUCCUUCCUUCUUUCUCCGGUGGCACGAUUUUCCUUCGCUCUCUUUCAGGCGCGGUUGCGAUUCUCCUUCCUCUGUCUCUGGCGUGGUGCUCUUUGUCUCAUGCACGAAUUUCAUCAAUUGCAUUUUCCUUAUAUGAUUCUGCAAGUUUUGAAAUAUGCAAAAGAAGACUGCACCAAAAUGAGUAGAAAGAGAACCAGAAAACAAGGACACCAAAGAAAAUAAAAGAAAAAAUGUAUCCGAAGAAACUUCGAAGGAGAUGGAAUGGAGAAAAUGCUAUGUUGACACGAGAUGCGCACUAAACUUGUUAGCGACACUUUCUUCUGGUUAUUUGAAUGAUGCGCAACGCAAUGAGGUUCGAGCAAUGGGUUUUGGAUCCCUCUUGGGUAUUUCCAAGGGGAAUUUAAACCAUGAUUUGAUUUUGGCCCUUGCAAAUGCCUAUAAUCUCUCCAAAUUUCAUCUUCUCACUCCAAUAGGAAAAGUAGAUGUUACUUGAGAUUCAGUUGCAGCUGUCUUGGGAUUGCGUGCAUACGGUGACUCAUUCAAGGAGGUAACUAAAGAGCAUGAGCCCAUGCUUUUAGAGUUCAAGAAAAAAGUCCAAAUACUUUGAGACAAAUCAUGUUAGAAAAUCCAAGAGGGGGUCCUAGAUUUAGGAGAGCUUUCUUGUUGUAUGCAUUGAUAACAUUUUUGUUACCAAUAAAUACAACAAUGACUUUGGAUAAAAUUUUCUCAUUUGUAAUUGAUGUUAAUAAUCCAAUGAAGUACAAUUGGAUUAUAUGUAUUAUGAUGGCCUUGCCGAUAGAGUUAACAACUUUAAAGAAUGAGCAGUGUCAAGUUUGAAUGGGUGCAUAUAUGUGCUUCAGAUUUUAUACUUUCAUCAGCAAAAAUAUGGACCCUUUGAUUUUUAUAAAGAACCCAACUGCCUUGGUUUCUCCAUUGGACAAAGGAACUCAUUUCUGCCUAAAUAGCAUUAGAAAGAAAAAGUUCAUCGGGGCUGGUUAGGUCAAAGGAAGAGCAACUUGUGCCUAAACGGCCAGUUCGACCAAAGAAAAGCAUUGUGAAAGGGGCUACCAAUGUGGAAAAGAGCAAAGUGAAAAUAAAAAAGUGGUAGAAGCCCUAAGAAGGAUAAAAAAUAAUUGAGGCAAGAAGAUUCUGCAAAAUCAACCAAAGUGAAAAAACAACAAAGUAAAAAGAGAAAAGUGAUAGACAGUCCUAAUAAGGACAAAAAGGAAUUGAGGCAGGAAGACUCUAUAAAAUCAAAGAGAGAAAAGAAGUAAGAACGAGGAGCAAACACAAGCUCCAAUGAAAAGCAUGGUAUCUUUGAACCCAACACUUGUUGGGUUGGAACAUUAAUUGAAUCCAAGGUCAUAGCCGUUGGAGGUGUUGGAGAAAAUUCAACUCCUAGGUUGAAGGUAGGCAUUGAUGGUGGGUGUGUUUUCUUUUCAUUCCGGCUGUGGAUAAUGCACAGAAAAGCAAGGAUGUAAUCAAACUAGAAACAUAUUUGCAAUUUACAUUUCAUGAAGAUUUAGAUUAUACUACGGGAAGGAUAAUCAAACUCAUUAGUCAUUUAUAAUCAAACUCAGUAAACAUGUAUAAUCAAACAUAGUAGUCAAAUAUAGCACUGAACCUGAACGUAAUCAAACUCAGCAAAUACAUAUAAUCAAACUCAGCAAUCAAACUCGAUAAACAUGUAUAAUCAAACUCAAUAAACAUGUAUAAUCAAACUCAGCAGUCAAAUAUAGCACUGAAUCUGAAUAUAGUCAAAGUCGGUAAACAUGUAUAAUCAAACUUAGAUUAUAAUCAAACUCAGUAGUCAAAUAUAGCACUAAACCUGAAUAUAAUCUAACUUUUUAAAAACAUGUAUAAUCAAACUCAGAGUAUAAUCAAACUUUGUAAUAUGUAAACACGUAUAAUCAAAUGAGUAAAGUAUCAUUUUUGUCCCCAACAUUUGGGGUAAGUCUUAUUUGUGUCCCUAACGUUUAAAUCGUCCUAUUUGUAUCCAUAGUGUUUAUAAAAGUGAUUCAAUGUUAUCCUACUAUCAAUUAUACUAACAAAUCAGAUUAUAUUUUUCAAUUAUUCUCACUUGGAUGCGUUCGAUUUUAAUAUUAUACCCACUAUUUGUGUUUAGAUUCAAUUAUGUCCCUAGAAAAGUGAAUUAUAUAAAUGUUGUAUGAAUUAGUUUCAACUUUUGAUGAGCUAUUUUUCGGAGUAGAUCAUCAAUUCUAUCCCAGAUAUUUGUAUUCUAACUUCAAGAAUAGAUUUUUAAAACUCAAACUAAAGCGUCCAUGAUGUGUAAUUGACGGUAGGAUAAUAUUGAAUCACUUUUAUAAAUGUUAGGGAUACAAAUAGGACGAUUUAAACGUUAGGGACACAAAUAGGAUUUACCCCAAAUGUUGGGGACAAAAAUGAUACUUUACUCUAAUCAAACUCAGAGUAUAAUCAAAGGAAGCAAGUAAUUAUUAAUUUUUAACAUCAUGUACGUAACAUCCUACCACACAGAGUCUUAUGCUUAAGUCAUAAAAUAAUGGUGGCGAGGUAUUACGACCUCUAAAAUAAAAUUUAGUACGUAUAGUAUUGCAAAAAUGUUCAUAAAUAAGAGCCUUUGAAGAAAAAUGGGUAAUUUAAAACCGAUAAAUCGAAAAGCGCGACACUCCGAUUGUUAACACAAACGAACAGCUAGAGAUCAAACUAAGGCAAAGAGAUAUACAAAAGAGUGCCAAAGUACAUAUAUCAAGACUCGGGACUCAGCUUGUGGAGAUAACCGGUCCGAGUAUACAGUAUACAUACAUAUAUAAUAAGGAAAAUCCCAAAAGACAAUAUACAAAUCCUGUUUCUCCAAAAUAACCUUUAGGAGGAGCCCAAAACAAAGUAUAUAUGUAUACAGUGGAGAAUAUAGUAUCUAAAUAGUUAUAUAAUAGCUAAAAUAAAAUCCCAAGACACAAGGAUCUCCGCCAAAAGAAAGUCUCCAGCAUGCCUCAGCGAGGAAUCUCACGUCCUGCAUCUUAAGGAUCUUCGGUCUAACUAUAUAUCCACAAAAAUCCGCAUGGGUGAGAAUCGGAGGUUCUCAACAUGGUAACAGUGCCCAAAUAUCUAACAUGUAAUGUCCUGGGAAAGCCGAAGGCAAUUCUAGAACUUCCAAAUUAUAAUCAAAGCGUAUAAACAUAACUAAACCAUAACAAAUGUAAAUAGGCGACUAACUUAAGGAUUUUCGGUCUAACUAUAUAUCCCCUUUCCAAAUCCUGCGAACCUUCCAACCGCCAACAGUAAAAUAAAUGCAAGGACAAGUAUAUCAAGCAAGGAAAUGUACAAGUAGGAAGCAGAUAGAACAAUUAAGCAAGUAGCAAGUAGUGAUGUAGUCAAUUAGGCAAUCCAGACAAAUCACAUACAAUGCAUAUGAUGCAUGCCUGUCCUAGUAGCUGAUGAGUCUCAUAUGUCAGUUAUAAAGCCAGCCCAACAAGUCCCGGUAGCUAACCGUUGGACUGUCCCUCUGUCGCGCAUUCCCAACUCGAGUUAUCUAUAAACAUAUCAUUUAUAUUCAACACCCUCAUUGGUGUAUAUUUACGGGGGCAAGCUCAUCCGAAACUUUCACAGUGUCCAACCACACUUACGACAUAGGGUCAGCAGAGUAUCGAGUCUCCACCUAGAGCACGUGGUGGCUAGCAACUGCUUUCACCCAGGAAAACUCGUAUUUCAGAUAGGUGGAGUGCAACAGUCCUAAUAAUCAACAAUUCAGCAUAUAUGCAACAAUCACAGCCAUACAUUAAUAUUUAUCUCAGCCAUCUGGCUUUCAAAUUAUAGUACAUAACCAGCCAUAAUCACCAUCAUACACCGCCAUUCGGCUCAUGACAUGCUCAGCCAUUGGUUCAUCUCAUAUACAGCACUCCACCGCCUUUCUCAACAACUUAUAUCAUCAUCAUUCAUCAUAUUCAUCAUAAAAUCCCUUUUCUUCCUCCACAAGUUACCCAUUUCCCAGCUUUCUCUAAAUCUCUAGGCAUUUAAUAUCAAUCUAAAACUUAAGGGAUGAAAUUGGGGGUUUAUAGGUGUGAAAUAACAUUCCAGAAGGUUACGAGCUUGUUGGGAAUGUGAAGAGCUUGAAAACAAAGUUUUAGAAAAAAAUGGGUCGCGUGCGUACGCACAGGGGGGUGUGCGUGCGCACGACUAGAAACAUUUUUAAACACGUGCGUACGCACAGGUCUGUGUAUACGCACAGAAAGGAAAAUCUUCAGGGUGGGGGCGCGCACACAACGUGUGCUAACGCUGCCACCAGUGUGCCAUUUCCAACGUGUGCGUGCGCACACAAACCAGAAAUUACAAAUUAUGCAGAAGUUGCAGAAUUCAGAUUGUUAACCCAAACUUCCAACGAUCAUAUCUCCUUCCACAAAAUUCGGAUUUUCACCAAAUUUAAACAAUUUUAAAGCUCAUAAAAUUAUCUUUCUAUUGAUAUAAAAAAUCAUCAAAUUUCAAAAAUAAUUGAUCGAGAUAUGGUCCGUUAAAGUUCAUCAAAUUCCAGUUUUUACCAAAACUUAUAAAUUCCCAUUUUUAAGACAUGCACUUACCAAACUCAUUCAAAACCCAGCCAAACCCAAUGUUUCAAUACCAAAUACUCCCAUCCACUCAUUCAAUCAUCAACCCAUCAAUUCCAUCAUGAUUAGCCAAAUCUCAAGGUGACAAAUCCCACAUCAUAAUCACAUAUUCACAUCUGAAUCUCCAACCAAUACCCAAUUCAUCAAUCACCAUAUAUAUAUACUUACACAUACCAAAUUCAUAUUUCAAGUCGUGCUCAUCAACACAAGCAUAAAUGCUAUCAUCAAUUCUAUAUAUUGAACCAUAUCACAUACAACUCUCACAUAUUAAACCCACGCUUAUCAUCAUUCACAAUCCUCUAACCGCCACUCAAAUACUCAUCUCAAUCCAAUGUUCAACAACUACAUCAACAUUCCACAAUUCACUAAAUUCAUAUACAACAACACAAUUCAUUUUAAUUCAUCCACAACAUUAAUGAUUCAACUCCUAUCUUAUGGUCUCUAGCCUACAUUUUCACACCACAUUACAUUUUUGAUACAGGAAAUCGAAACCAUACAUUGGCCGAUUCUCGUUCCACCCGGAACACUCCCAAAUUCACUUUUCCUCAACUUCCAAUGUCUCAAUGCUUCACCAACAGAUUUCCAAGCUUGGGAUUCCAUGCCAAAGCUUUUCAAAACCACCAAUCAAGCUCCAAAACACAUAUAUACAAUGCCUAAGCCACAAUAUCACAUAAAAACACAAUAACUCAAUCACUAAAUCACAAAAUCUCAAGUCUCUAGCUUAGGGUUUAGAAUCUCACCUUACCCAAAGACCAAGGGAGCUAGAGAAAGCCUUCCCUUCAAGUUAAUUUGAGCCUACAACAUCCAAACUCAAAAAUCUCAACACUUUACCCACAAAUUUUUGAAAAUGAGGGCUGAGAAUUCGAAGAAGAUUCUGUGACUUACCUCAAGAUUGCUUGGGUGGGUUUUGUAGAGCUCGACGUCGCGGUCGCGGUCGCGUGGCAGCAAACGGUGCGUCAAUCGGAGCUUUGCAUCAAAAGAUAUGAUCAAUUGAAGUUGGAGCAAGGGUUUGUGUUUUCCUCUUCCUUUCCCCUCUCAAUCUCAGCGUGAAUGUGUUCUUGAGGGAGGGAGAGAGCUGAGCUUCAUUUAAUUAAAUGAAGCUUGGCUGGGCCAUGGGCCCAAUUUGGGUCCAUUUGGCCCGGUUUGGCCCGUUCGGCCCAAUCUUCGGCCGAUUUCUUUAAAAUUGGUGUCAAAAUUAUCGUUUCGAAUUUCUCUACCACAUUAGAUCAUAAAAACCUCAUUUGUCACCUUCUAUAAUUAUUUUAAUUUAUGAGUUAAUUAGCUAUAAAUUAACCGAGUUUUACAAUGUACGAAAGUGAAUGUAGUAUACAUGAGUGCUGAAAAGUCAAAACACAGAAUGGUGGGAAUGCCAAACUACCUUACUUUUCAUUGGAACUUGUGUUUGCUCCUCCCUCUUGCUUCUUUUUUCUCUUUGAUUUUGUAGAGUCUUCUUGACUCAAUUCCUUUUUGUCCUUAUUAGGACUGUUUACCACUUUUCUCUUUUCACUUUGUUGUUUUUUCACUUUGGUUGAUUUUGCAUAAUUUUCUUGCCUCAAUUCUUUUUUAUCCUUUUUAGGGCUGUCUAACACUUUUUUCUUUCAUUUUGCUCUUUUUCCACUUUGAUAACCUUUUUCAUAAUGCUUUUCUUUGGUCGAACUGGCCAUUUAGGCACAAGUUGCUCUUCCUUUGACCUAACCAGCCCUUAUAAGACAUGUAUAAUUAGUGAAAAUCCAUUCAUUAUGGAUAGAAAAUGAAAUUUUAGAGAGCAGAUAAUGUAAGUAUCGAUGAAAUUUUUCUUUCUAAUGCUAUUUGGGCAGAAAUGAGUUCCUUUGUCUAAUGGGGAAGCCAAGGCGGUUGUAGUUCUUUCUCAAAAUCAAAGGGUCUAUAUUUUUGCUUAUGGAAGUAUAAAAUCUGAAUUCAAUUAAUUAAAGUUAUAUUAUAAUCAAACAUGCU